rnacentral:lncRNA from 1 species
UGCAGAAGCUCGUGCAAGUCUGGCGGCCUUGAGCUCCACUGGGUCCUGUAUUGGGGGUGCGGAGGAGGUGCCGGACAGUCUUUCCCGAAGCCAAAGAAGCCUGCGCUUGGGGCGGCUGGGACCACGGAGAGACAGUCGGGAGGAGAGCGGGUCCUUUUGGUAUUUAUCAACACCUGACCUCGUUUUGCCUGUUCACUCGAGGGCCGGGAGCCCUCUAAGAGCAGAACUGGGUCUGCCUUGCUCCCUGCGGGGCCCCACCCCUGGGCACACCCUGCGGCCUGAAGAUGACACAGGUGUGCCUACAGCAGCAGCAACAGGAAGGUGGACUGGGAGAUGCCCACAAACUCCAGGUGUGACCCACGCGCCCCCUUACACCACCCAGCCUCAGUUCCCCAGUUUGUGAAAAGGGGCUGGAUGUGUUGUUUGGAUGACCGUUCCAGCUUUGACAGCUUGGUUCUGGACUCCUGAACAGAGGAGAUGACCUAGAGGACCU